CAGCCGUAAACUAUGCGCGUUAGGUGUACUGGUGACCACGAGUCACCGGGGUGCCGAAGGGAAACCGUGAAACGUGCCGCCUGGGAAGUACGGUCGCAAGGCUGAAACUUAAAGGAAUUGGCGGGGGAGGCACAACAAACGGGUGGGAGCCUGCGGUUUAAUUUGGACUCAACGCCGGACAACUCACCGGGAACGGACAGCAAUAUGUAGGCCAGGCUGAAGACCUUGCCUGAAUCGCUGAGAGGUGGUGCAUGGC
rnacentral:rRNA from 1 species